rnacentral:tRNA from 1 species
GCGCCCGUAGCUCAAUGGAUAGAGCGGUAGACUUCGAAUCUGCGCGUUGGGGGUUCGACUCCCUCCGGGCGUG